UACGUAGGUGGCAAGCGUUGUCCGGAAUUACUGGGUGUAAAGGGCGUGUAGGCGGGAAAGCAAGUCAGAUGUGAAAUCCCAUGGCUUAACUGUGGAGCUGCAUCUGAAACUGUUUUUCUUGAGUAUCGGAGAGGAAAGUGGAAUUCCAAGUGUAGCGGUGAAAUGCGUAGAGAUUUGGAGGAACACCAGUGGCGAAGGCGGCUUUCUGGACGAUAACUGACGCUGAGGCGCGACAGCGUGGGGAGCAAACAGG
rnacentral:rRNA from 1 species